UAGUAAUUUCAAAAAUUAUUUAUGCAUGAAAUGCAGCCAAAAUCUGAAUAAUUACCAACAAUGGACAAACUGGCCUUAACUGACAGCAAAACAAAGCAAAAGAAAGAGAUCCAGAAUAACGUUUCGUCUGAACCGUGAAUCUGACAAUUGUUCUCUUCCAUUCACAUAACAUAUGUCAAGAGAAGACAGACUGACAUGUGCGGCAGCGGUGUUUAGAUAAAAGCCGUUCAACUACUCAAAACUCUCUGAAAGUGAUGCAAAGCUCAGUUAUUGCAGUUGAAUUUAUAAUCAAAUUUCAUUUUGCCUCUAGAAAUAAUACACAAGUUGCAGGCAUAAAUAUCAUAUGAGUGGUUGGCAAAUUGAACAACAACAGAUUGAAUGUAUGCCUCAAAUAAAAUGGAACUCCUUAAAUUAAUGAGAUAAGUCAGACACUAAAUCGAAGAAUUUAAAAUGUUAAAUUGCAAAAGCAUGGCAACCAUUAAGCACUCCAAUAUAAUCUCAUGCUCUUUGGGGAGAAGUUGUCAUCAGCGUCAAACGUUACCCCAGCCAACAAUUACCAAUUAAAACCCCAAAGCGCGCAACUCAAUUUCGUGCAACACACACACACACACAAACAUAUGUACAUGCACAUAUUCGUAUAGUACGGUACUCUUAUACAUAUAUUGCGCAUAGACAAAGGCAAUUUCAUAUAGUAUUUCCAGAUAACUGACUUCGAUAGCAAACCGCAACAGCAAGAAUGACAAAAGAACAAGACAAGAAUAACAAGAAAAACAACAGACACAACAACGAGAAUGGCAACAAUGGCCACUGUGAAAACUGUGAAGAGACAAAAAGGACCCGAGCCAAGUUUUGUGGAUUCGCUCAGCGCAGC